rnacentral:rRNA from 1 species
ACGAACGCUGGCGGCGUGCUUCACCCAUGCAAGUCGCACGGAAAGGCUUCUUUCGGGGGGUACUCGAGUGGCGAACGGGUGAGUAACACGUGAGUAACCUGCCCUUGACUUUGGGAUAACUUCAGGAAACUGGGGCUAAUACCGGAUAGGAGCUCCUGCUGCAUGGUGGGGGUUGGAAAGUUUCGGCGGUUGGGGAUGGACUCGCGGCUUAUCAGCUUGUUGGUGGGGUAGUGGCUUACCAAGGCUUUGACGGGUAGCCGGCCUGAGAGGGUGACCGGCCACAUUGGGACUGAGAUACGGCCCAGACUCCUACGGGAGGCAGCAGUGGGGAAUAUUGCACAAUGGGUGGAAGCCUGAUGCAGCAACGCCGUGUGCGGGAUGACGGCCUUCGGGUUGUAAACCGCUUUCGCCCAUGACGAAGCUUUGUGUGACGGUAGUGGGUAAAGAAGCACCGGCUAACUACGUG